GAUGAACGCUGGCGGCGUGCCUAAUACAUGCAAGUCGAGCGAACGGACGAGAAGCUUGCUUCUCUGAUGUUAGCGGCGGACGGGUGAGUAACACGUGGAUAACCUACCUAUAAGACUUGGAUAACUUCGGGAAACCGGAGCUAAUACCGGAUAAUAUUUUGAACCGCAUGGUUCAAAAGUGAAAGACGGUCUUGCUGUCACUUAUAGAUGGAUCCGCGCUGCAUUAGCUAGUUGGUAAGGUAAAGGCUUACCAAGGCAACGAUGCAUAGCCGACCUGAGAGGGUGAUCGGCCACACUGGAACUGAGACACGGUCCAGACUCCUACGGGAGGCAGCAGUAGGGAAUCUUCCGCAAUGGGCGAAAGCCUGACGGAGCAACGCCGCGUGAGUGAUGAAGGUCUUCGGAUCGUAAAACUCUGUUAUUAGGGAAGAACAUAUGUGUAAGUAACUGUGCACAUAGUGACGGUACCUAAUCAGAAAGCCACGGCUAACUACGUG
rnacentral:rRNA from 1 species